rnacentral:rRNA from 1 species
CGUGUGCUUACAAGUAGUCAGAGCCCGUUAAUGGGUGAUGGCGUGCCUUUUGUAGAAUGAACCGGCGAGUUACGAUUUGAUGCAAGGUUAAGCAGUAAAUGUGGAGCCGUAGCGAAAGCGAGUCUGAAUAGGGCGUUUAGUAUUUGGUCGUAGACCCGAAACCAGGUGAUCUACCCUUGGUCAGGUUGAAGUUCAGGUAACACUGAAUGGAGGACCGAACCGACUUACGUUGAAAAGUGAGCGGAUGAACUGAGGGUAGCGGAGAAAUUCCAAUCGAACCUGGAGAUAGCUGGUUCUCUCCGAAAUAGCUUUAGGGCUAGCCUCAAGUGAUGAUUAUUGGAGGUAGAGCACUGUUUGGACGAGGGGCCCCUCUCGGGUUACCGAAUUCAGACAAACUCCGAAUGCCAAUUAAUUUAACUUGGGAGUCAGAACAUGGGUGAUAAGGUCCGUGUUCGAAAGGGAAACAGCCCAGACCACCAGCUAAGGUCCCAAAAUAUAUGUUAAGUGGAAAAGGAUGUGGCGUUGCCCAGACAACUAGGAUGUUGGCUUAGAAGCAGCCAUCAUUUAAAGAGUGCGUAAUAGCUCACUAGUCGAGUGACACUGCGCCGAAAAUGUACCGGGGCUAAACAUAUUACCGAAGCUGUGGAUUGUCCUUUGGACAAUGGUAGGAGAGCGUUCUAAGGGCGUUGAAGCAUGAUCGUAAGGACAUGUGGAGCGCUUAGAAGUGAGAAUGCCGGUGUGAGUAGCGAAAGACGGGUGAGAAUCCCGUCCACCGAUUGACUAAGGUUUCCAGAGGAAGGCUCGUCCGCUCUGGGUUAGUCGGGUCCUAAGCUGAGGCCGACAGGCGUAGGCGAUGGAUAACAGGUUGAUAUUCCUGUACCACCUAUAAUCGUUUUAAUCGAUGGGGGGACGCAGUAGGAUAGGCGAAGCGUGCGAUUGGAUUGCACGUCUAAGCAGUAAGGCUGAGUAUUAGGCAAAUCCGGUACUCGUUAAGGCUGAGCUGUGAUGGGGA